rnacentral:rRNA from 1 species
UACGGGGGGGGGCAAGCGUUGUUCGGAAUUACUGGGCGUAAAGGGCUCGUAGGCGGCCAACUAAGUCAGACGUGAAAUCCCUCAGCUUAACUGGGGAACUGCGUCCGAUACUGGAUGGCUUGGAUUUGGGAGAGGGAUGCGGAAUUCCAGGUGUAGCGGUGAAAUGCGUAGAUAUCUGGAGGAACACCGGUGGCGAAGGCGGCAUCCUGGACCAAUAUUGACGCUGAGGAGCGAAAGCCAGGGGAGCAAACGGG